UACGUAGGGUGCAAGCGUUGUCCGGAAUUAUUGGGCGUAAAGAGCUCGUAGGCGGUCUGUCGCGUCGGAUGUGAAAACCCAGGGCUCAACCCUGGGCCUGCAUUCGAUACGGGCAGACUAGAGUGCGGUAGAGGAGAGUGGAAUUCCCGGUGUAGCAGUGAAAUGCGUAGAGAUCGGGAGGAACAUCAGUUGCGAAGGCGGCUCUCUGGACCAGCACUGACACUGGAGGCACGAAAGCGUCGGGGAGCAAACAGG
rnacentral:rRNA from 1 species